rnacentral:rRNA from 1 species
AUGCGGGAUCCCGUGAGCGGCGGCGGCGCUUGCUUUUUUCUCCUCUUUUUUCCCGUGGGGGAGGAUGACGAUAGAAGAUGCGGGGCUGAUCUGACGGUUACGCGCGUCCAAAUCGAGCGGCUCUGGUUUGACCAGCCAAAACGUUCCGCCGGCGACGGCGGGACGCUCUGCAGGACCAAGGAGACAAGCAUACGGAGGAAACAAUCAUCAGAGAGGAUUAAUAACUCGGACAAUGGUGGUAGCAAAGGAGGAUGGAGAUGA